rnacentral:misc_RNA from 1 species
GUAGGUGAACCUGCGGAAGGAUCAUUAAAGAACGCCCCGUUUUUUGAAAUGGGUAAUUCCCAAACCGUGUAUACAUACCUUUGUUGCUUUGGUAGGCCGCCCCUCGGGGCGUUGGCUCCGGCUGACUGCGCCUGCCAGAGGACCCAAACUCGUUUGUUUAGUGAUGUCUGAGUACUAUGUAAUAGUUAAAACUUUCAACAACGGAUCUCUUGGUUCUG